rnacentral:rRNA from 1 species
GAUGAACGCUAGCGGCAGGCCUAACACAUGCAAGUCGAACGAAGCAUAGCAAUAUGCUUAGUGGCGGACGGGUGAGUAACGCGUGAACAAUCUGCCCUGUACAAAGGAAUAGCCUCGGGAAACCGGGAUUAAAACCGUAUGACACUUUAGUAUCGCAUGAUAAGAAAGUCAAAUCGAAUAGAGGUAUGGGAUGAGUUCGCGUCUGAUUAGCUGGUUGGCGGGGUAACGGCCCACCAAGGCGACGAUCAGUAGCCGGCCUGAGAGGGUGAACGGCCACACUGGAACUGAGACACGGUCCAGACUCCUACGGGAGGCAGCAGUGGGGAAUAUUGCACAAUGGAGGGAACUCUGAUGCAGCGACGCCGCGUGAGUGAAGAAGGUCUUCGGAUCGUAAAACUCUGUCCUUGGUGAAGAAAAGGACGGUAGCCAAGGAGGAAGCCCCGGCUAACUACGUG